AGUGAACGCUGGCGGUAGGCCUAACACAUGCAAGUCGAACGGCAGCACAGUAAGAGCCUGCUCUUACGGGUGGCGCGUGGCGGAAGGGUGAGGAAUACAUCGGAAUCUACUUUUUCGUGGGGGAUAACGUAGGGAAACUCACGCUAAUACCGCAUACGACCUACGGGUGAAAGCAGGGGAUCUUCGGACUUUGCGCGAUUGAAUGAGCCGAUGUCGGAUUAGCUAGUUGGCGGGGUAAAGGCCCACCAAGGCGACGAUCCGUAGCUGGUCUGAGAGGAUGAUCAGCCACACUGGAACUGAGACACGGUCCAGACUCCUACGGGAGGCAGCAGUGGGGAAUAUUGGGCAAUGGGCGCAAGCCUGAUCCAGCCAUACCGCGUGAGUGAUGAAGGCCUUCGGGUUGUAAAGCCCUGUUGUUGGGAAAGAAAAACAGCAGGUUAAUACCCCGCUGUUCUGACGGUACCCAAAGAAUAAGCACCGGCUAACUUCGUG
rnacentral:rRNA from 1 species